GACGAACGCUGGCGGCGUGCCUAAUACAUGCAAGUAGAACGAAGUUGCGAACGGGUGAGUAACACGUCGGUAACCGCCUCAUAGCGGGGGAGAACUAUUGGAAACGAUAGCUUAUACCGCACACUGUGAGAUGGACCUGCGUUGUAUUAGCUAGUUGGUGAGGAAAACGCUAACCAAGGAGACGAUACAUAGCCGACCUGAGAGGGGUGUAGGCCAGACGUGGGCUGCGACACAGCCCAAACUCCUACGGGAGGCAGCAGUAGUGAAGCGUCGGCAAUGGACGGAAGACUUGCCGAGCCACGCCGCGUGAGUGUAGAAGGUUUUCGGAGCGUAAAGCUCUGUUGUUAGAGAAGCGGUAACUAACCAGAAAGGGACGGCUAACUACGUGCCAGCAGCCGCGGUAAUUAC
rnacentral:rRNA from 1 species